UCUCAGGCCUCUGGACUCAGACUGAAUUCCUGGCUUCCCUGGUUCUCCAGCUUGCAGAUGGCAGAUUACUGGACUUCUUGGCCUCCAUAAUCACGUCUUCAGCCAGAGAACAGGAGUUUGUCCACCCUUAGCUUCUAGAAACAACUACCCAUAGUAGUCAUGCAUGGUCCGCGCCAUUAAGAG